rnacentral:lncRNA from 1 species
UAAAACAAUGCCUAGAACAAGCAGGCUCCUUAGCUGGGAAACCUUCAGAAGGGCCAUACCAGAGGGCUUGGUGUAGAGGUGACAUGAUUCCAUUUCUCCUUUAGAAAUAUUUAGCUUGGAGUUCCCGUCGUGGCACAGUGGUUAACGAAUCUGACUAGGAACCAUGAGGUUGCGGGUUCGAUCCCUGGCCUUGCUCAGUGGGUUAAGGAUCUGGCGUGGCCGUGAGCUGUGAUGUAGGUUGCAGACAUGGCUCGGAUCCUGCGUUGCUGUGGCUGUGGCGUAGGCCAGGGGCUACAGCUCCGAUAGACCCCUAGCCUGGGAACUUCCGUAUGCCGCGGGAGCAGCCCUAGAAAAGGCAAAAAGACAAAAAGACAAAAAAAAAAAAAAAAUUUAGUUUGUAAUACCUCUGCUCUCCCAGAGGCAGGCCUGAAUCACCCUCCUUAGGGUGUGGGAAAUUAGAAUAAAAAAUUGCAAUGUCAGACCACAGAGUGUAGAACAGGAAGAGCCUUUCCUGCCAGCUGCCCCAGCCCACCCUUACCCAGGUGGGGAAAUGAGGUGCGGGGGGAGGACCCUGAGCAAGGCGGCACGAGGUCCCAUCCCGGGCUCUCACCAAAGUUCAGUCCAACUUUCUUCGCCCUCAGGCCUCCUGCUGUGUGGCCUCCUCAGCACUUGGGAAAAGAGUUAAAAGUAUAAUCCAACCAGAACAACCACCAUGUUCACAUGAUGUCAAAGAGCCCACAGACACACAUGCCCACGGUCUGACCUCCUUCUGCCCUCUCAGAUUUCUCUGGAAAUAACAGACUCCCCUUAGCCUUUUCUGUUCCAAGCAGAGUGACUGUUGGCCUUUCCCGGGAACAGAGGUGCACACGGACCCCUUCUUCUGACUGUCAGCAUAAGAAAAACAUUUGAAAUGGGGCUGGAGGCAGGGGGGUCGCAAGGCUUCUGUUCUUCUUCGGAUGUUUUUGACCCCUGCUCUCACCCACUGCAUACUCAUUUGCAGCCUCAUUCUCCCUCCUCUUUCCCUCCCCAGCCAUCGCUACAAGUGUCUGGGCUUUGCAAAGCACCAAUUUCAAUUCAGAUCAUAACUCUGCCACCGAAGAUUUGGGAAGCCAUUGUUGAGCAAGUCACUAAGUUACUUAAUUUACCUGAGCUUCCAUUUCCAACUCUUUAAAAUGGGGUAGUUCUAUCUUCCUCAAAGAGCUGUAGCAAAUAUUAAAUGGAGAGCAGAAACAAAGGGCACUAUGGGUAAAAUCUCUGAUCCAGCACUGCCACAACUGUGGCUUAGAUUCAAUCCCUGGUCUUCCAUAUGCUGCAGAUGUGGCCAUAAACUCUUUUUUGUUGUUGUUUUUUAGGGCUGCACCCGCAACAUAUGGAAGUUUCCAGGGAAGGGGUCAAAUCAGAGCUACAGCUGCCAACAUACACCACAGCCACGGCAACGUGGGAUCUGAGCCAAGUCUGCAACCUAUGCCACAAGUCACAGCAAUGCUGGAUCCUCAACCCGCUGAGUGAGGCCAGGGAUCGAACCCACAUCUUCAUGGAUACUAGUCGGGUUCAUUACCACUGAGCCAUGAUGGGAGCUCCCAUAAAUUUUUUUUAAAGCUAUCUUAUAUUUUUAUGGCACUUGAAGUUGACACACCACUUGUGCCUAACAUUGUUGCUUUUGAUUUAAUAUAUGGACAUAUUAGUGAAAUUUCAUUCCUCAAGUAUUCAUUAAAAUUUAAGAGCAUUAACUUCUUCACGGUGCAAUAAGAAUUGGUACCUUCAAAUUUUUAGAAAAGAGUCAUUUAUUAUGACCUAUAUUGUUAUUAUCAUCAAAAACCAGGCACUUUGAUAUGUGCUAAGGACAAGGAGGUACAUAAGACAAGAUUCUGUCCCCAGGAAGCACAGAACCAUCUUAUUGACCAGAUUUAACAGUGAAUGAAAGAGGCUCAGAAAAUUCAUUGACUUGCCAAUGUUGUCAGUUGAUAUGUGACAGGACAGGGCUCAAACUCAACUCAAAUCUUGUCCCUCCAAUUCCCAUAUUCCUUACACUGUGUUAUCAGAUAAUGCUAUUUUACUCCACUCUCCUCCAAAGGGACCGUAUCCUCGACUUUGACUGUUACUGCUAAGCUCUUUCUAUGACUUCUACUCAAAGAUGCUCCUUGGGUUUCAAGUAUGGGGGAUAAGGAAGAGGAGGGUGUUAAAAUUUAUAUAUAGAUAGAGAGAGAGAGAGAAGGAGGGAGAGGGAGAAAAGACAGAGAGACAGAAAACCUGUCCUUUACCAGGCACCAAACUAGAGAUGCUUUUACCUGAUAACUUUCACAUCUCAUUUGCUUUGAAUAUUACUGCCCUCAUUAUUGUGCCCCAGACUAAGUCUAACAAGAAAAUACACCCUUCCCAAGCAACUGGUAGACCUAGGAUUCAGGCCCUCUCAGUCACAGCUCCUAAUUUUUUUGUUUUUUUGCACUUGCGGCAUAUGGAAGUUCUCAGGCUAGGGGUCGAAUCCAAGCUGCAGCUGCUG